UUGGCAGCUGUCUCCUCCGCUGAGCAUGUUGAUGGGAGAAAUGAAGACUCCUUCCAGCAGACAAGUUGGGGAGGGAUGGGUGAGCGAUGCUGCCGUGGUGGCUGAGCACACGCGGCUCAAGAGCAGCAGGAGGGACGUCCUUCUGCCUCCAAAUGGAGGUGGGGAUGGGGACAGCUCUCCUGGGUGCCUCUAAAGGGACCGGGAGGGAAAAGAUCCAGCUUCUGAAACUACUUAAAAAGCUUUCGAUCAAAGAUGUACAGUGGUGCUGACAGAACACAGAAGAGUUUUCGCUGGGGAAAGCCAUCAUUAAUUAUCAGACUGUGUAGAAAUAGAAGGAAACAUGAACAGAAUGGAAGAAGUCAGUGUGAGAAAGCAUCAGCGCCACAGGAGCCUGCUGAGCCUUCUGCCAACACCACUGCUGAGUUGUCUGCAGUUGUCUGGCCCAUCUUGUCUCUUCAAGGCUGCCCUUACCCCUCAGAUUUCCUGCCAUCCCAGCCUGGUGCCUGUCCAUCCAUUCAUCCAUCCAUCCCCACUUUUUUUCUAUAUCUCACUUUCCAAAAUCACGUCACGGUGGGUUUCUGCCAUCCUCCCCAAAAAGGGGAUUUUCAUUUUGAUAAAGGUCUGCACUCAAAGACAAACACCUUGCCACACAAGAAAACAGUGAUACUGCCUUGCCAAGAUGGAAGGAUGGAUUUUGGAGAACCUCACCUCGCUCACACGUCCUGUGCCUGCAUGGGUGCCUGUGGUUUUGCAACCUAGCAGCCGGCAACAGCUGAUAUUUUUAGUGCUGCCAGACACUCGAUACCUGCCAAGGUCACUUGCUGACAAAAGCGAUGAUGAGCCGGCGUGGCAGCAUGUAACAACCCCACCACUUCCCAGCAAUCGGCUUGAACGUGCGUGCUGCCACUUGCCAAGGCGAGACGUGAACAGCGAGGAACGACAGCGGCUGCCGUGCGGGCUGCUGCCUCUGCCCCUCACUCCCUGCUCCGUGCAUGGUGGUGUCACAUCCCAGCAGAUGCUGCCCAAAGAGUGGCAGAAGCUGCAGAACGCUUUGUGCUGAGAGGAAUGGGGUUUGCAGGGAUGCUGCCAGAGCAAUAGCUGCUGUCUCUGUUUGGGACCCAGCAUGAUCCCAUCACUAGUUUCACCGAUGGGGAGACAAAACCUGGACAAGCACACGUGUUGGAAAAAAUGGAAAGCUUGAUUUGUUUUUCUCUAAGCCCUGUGCAAUGAAUGCCACAGAGGGAAAAAAGCAGGAUUGUCAGAGUUGUGAGAGAAAACCAUCUCUCUCUUCUUUUUCCACCAGCCCAGGUGGUUAAAAUGGGUACAGAGGAAGAGAGGGGGGCUUACAUGUAUGUCCUCUGCCCGUGGAUGGCAGCCCGCACUGGUCACAUGCAAGCAGUGGGCUGCACCCACCAGGCUGGCCUGUUGGGUACAGUAAGUCUUGUCUGCUAUUUAUCUCAUUCCCCCCAUGGACAAAUCUCCUGUUGAGCUCUCACUCUGAUGGUUUAGGCAGAUAAAAACCUGUCUGCAAGUUCAGAGCCAGCCCAGAUGAUGCUGGGUGGGAGAUGCGUCCAUGUCUGUGCUCAGCCACUGCAACAAGCAAACUCCAAAUGGAGGUGACAGUUUCAUGGGGAGCAGUGAACUGGUACGACAGCCCUUCUCCACUGCCCAAACAGCACGCUCAUAACAGAUUUUUCACUUCAAGUGCCUUCUACAAGUGUUAAUGAACUAACCCUUAUGAUAGCUCACAGGAGAUGUCUCCAGCAGAGCAGGAUGCAGGCUGAAGAGCCACACACCUCCCUCUGCUUGCGGGCUGGUGUGUGUGGGUGUGUGUCAGUAUGUGCUUGCACACUCAUGUGUUUGUGCACUUGUGCAUGUGGCUCAAAGAGCUGCCAAGAGUUAGUGAAUCACUAUUUGAAACAGUGCAGAUCAGAAGAAGACCACGUUUCUUCCAUCUUUAAAUCAAAUUAGUGGGUAAGAAAGGUAAACCAAGGCAUGGGUUCAUCGCAUUAAGAUCUUAAAGCCUGGAGCGAGCAUCAGAUGAUGAAGGCAGAGCUCGAGUGGCACAUACCAGACAAUUCCAUCCAGUUGCAGAUUAAUGGCUCUGCUAAAUGACUUUAAACCUAAUGACAUGUAACAUGCAAAGAUCAGGCUGCUCAGUAUCGCAAGAAAAAUAGCAAUAAUGAUCGCUUAUACAAAAUAAACCUCCGGAGGAUCAAUGCCACCCAGCACAAAUGUGACUUUGGAUGGGAAGGAAUGGAAGAGCAGAGUGAAUUUGCAUCUUGCCAACACGUAAAAGCCGGACAGGAUGUUUAGGAGGAGGUAAUAGUCCUGGAGUGCAGGGGCAGAGGCUGUCCUGACUGGAGAAAACAAAAGACACGCAUUGAAAAAUUCCUUAUUUCAAGAUUCAGCUACACAUUUGUAUCUGGCCUAUCAUUUUCCUCUAUGUGUAUGAAUGUGAGCAUCUGAAAUUCAGCUGAGCUGCUAACUUCCGCAGGCUAUGGAAAGCAAUUUUCUUAAUAAAAGAGCAUGAGCUUGACUUACUAAGAAACCCUGAUCUUUGACAAUGACUGCCCAACCCCAUCCUUUAGACCCGUGUGGAUGGCAAGGUGGAAGUGUUCAGGCCAAGAACUGGAAGUGCAGCCAGAAGCCUCUGCAAGGACAGACACAGAAGGGGUGAGUCUGGCCAACACUUGGCCGAAUGGACUCCAUCUGCCAGGUUCUUGCACCUAGAACAGCAAGAAACCAGCGGGGUCUUUGCAAACACAGGCGAGAGGUUGAGAUGCACCAGCCAGGGAUGGAAGAAUCUUUCUGCUAGCAUACAGACUACGUACCCAGAAACCAUACAGACAACUGCAGGCAGAACCAGAGCUUGAUGCUUGUGCUCCUUGCUGCUUGCCUCGUGGGAUAAGUGGCUCCGCACUGAGCUGAGCAUCGCGGCAGUGUCCGAGGGCAGCAGCUGCUUGCAGCGCUGGAAAGCCGCUUUGGAAGCCUGAGCUGAUGCUGACUCCUGCAAUCCUGUUUGCUCAUCUCGGUCACUGGGUAUUUAUUGACUGGGAGGAGAGGGGGGGUUAACGAGGAGGGUGAUUGAAAGCUGUAUGUGACCUUCCUGCUCUGACACUGGGUAAGAUUGUAUUGACUGUGAUGCAGGAGGGACCAGUUCCUCCCUUGUCCUUGGGGGUGCUGGGCAGAGACAAGGUUUGCAAAGCUUCCCUCCCUUUCUUGGACCCAUUCUCUCACUGCAAGGGCAGGAUUUGUCCUUCAGCACAGGAAAAAGCAACAACUUGUUUGAAUAAUUGGUUUCAAGGCUCUUUCAUAAUGGUGCAUAAUUUACAACAGGAAAGAAAAGAUUCAGUUUAACCCUUUUUUUUUUUUUAACCUUUUCUUUAGAAAAUUUGAGGAAAAAAAGUAAUUACAGACCCUGGGGAAAGUUUUCCUUCCAGCUUGAGCAUUUUCAGAAGUGAUCAUAAAAAUAACGGUAAUUUCUAAGUAGGAAAGCUUCAAAUUGGAAAAUGUAAAAGUUUAAUUUUAGAACUUUCCGAGGGGACACAUCUAACCCUUUCCAAGCACAAUCAGCAAGCGCAAGCUGCUUAGCAGAGGAGGGAUAAGUUUCCUUGAGAUUUCAAUCAGGCACUUUGUUUUUCAGUGAAAAAAGGGUCUUACACCAUCAAAUCAUCACAGAACUAUCUGUCAUCUCCCCGAGCACGCACAGCUGCUGUGGACGUGCCCAUGGUACAGGGACUCUACCACAUGUCAAGAGCUGUGUCUGAACUCCUUAUGGGUGAUGGAGACGAAGCUUGCCUCCUCCAGCUCCACCCUGUAAGCUGCCACCGACCCUGGGUCCCUGUGGGAUGGGAGGGCGUUUUGUGAUGAGCUGUGAAGGGCAGAGGUUGGGCAGAGAGCAGGGACAGGCAGCUUUUCUGGGGCACCUUCCUCCUCCUUAAUGCAAUGUAGAACACAGUGUCAUUAUUUUCAUUUAAUAAAGUGGAACAAACUUAAGAUGCUUAAACGUUGAUUAAAGGCUUUGAUCUCCAAAAGUGCGAUUAGUGUCCUUCUGUCGAAGAAAGUCACUUUGAGAAAUGCGCGUGCUGAUUCCGCAUAAUCCCCCCAUUAAUUCUGUGUCAGAUACUGUGUUUACUGGAAGCACACGACAAGCCUUUUCUAUUUCCUUUCCCCCCCUCAAACAGUUCUAGAGCCACCAUUUUCAUGCAGUUUAUCCCAGCCAUGCUCUUCCUCCCCUUGUCCCCUUGUACGGAGAUGGAAGGAAGGAGGGGACAGUCGGUGGCUGUGGCUCAGUGCUGCAGA